rnacentral:rRNA from 1 species
AGUGAACGCUGGCGGCAGGCCUAACACAUGCAAGUCGAACGGCAGCACAGUAAGAGUUUGCUCUUACGGGUGGCGAGUGGCGGGCGGGUGAGGAGUACAUCGGAAUCUACUUUUUCGGGGGGGAUAACGUGGGGAAACUUACGCUAAUACUGCAUACGACCUACGGGUGAGAGCAGGAGAUCUUCGGACCUUGCGCGAGUGAAUGAGCCGAUGUCGGAUUAGCUAGUUGGCGGGGUAAAGGCCCACCAAGGCGACGAUCCGUAGCUGGUCUGAGAGGAUGAUCAGCCACACUGGAACUGAGACACGGUCCAGACUCCUACGGGAGGCAGCAGUGGGGAAUAUUGCACAAUGGGCGCAAGCCUGAUCCAGCCAUACCGCGUGGGUGAAGAAGGCCUUCGGGUUGUAAAGCCCUUUUGUUGGGAAAGAAAAGCAGCAGGUUAAUACCCCGCUGUUCUGACGGUACCCAAAGAAUAAGCACCGGCUAACUUCGUG